UCCUUUUUAUCCGAAUGAUUGACCAGUAACAGUGCGGAACCGGUGAUGGCCACUUAAAAAUCAUUCGUUCAAGUAAAAAAGAACAGAAAGUGGACAGACGCGAAAGAGAACAAAGACCAGGAACGUAUCCUCGAUAACUUUUCCUUAUAAUUCUUAUUGGAGACGUGUCAAGGUCACUUAAUGACCACGAAGACACCCUGACCUUUGAAAUUUAUUUCUAAUCACCAUUACCAAUACUUUUUGUUCCCCUUCCAUCUUUAUAAUUAUGCAGCAAAUGUUUUACAUGCAUUUAUUUGCCAAUGUGAAAAAGUUAUACGGACCAUAGCAACGAGAAAGUUGCAAGGAGUCCAUCGAAAUUUCAUUUGUCGAGAAAUACUGAGAGGGAACAGAAAGAGAGAGAGA
rnacentral:lncRNA from 1 species